ensembl:lncRNA
GGGACACAGCCAGCGUUUGUGUUAUUAGUAACACCUGCGCUUUUCCUGCCGCGACAUAUUACAACGUCUGCUGGGAGAAAGGCCCAUGGCUGAAGUAAUAAUAUGUUUUGGGCUACUUGGGGAACAGGCGAGGGAAAUUACAUAUUCACACAUCCAGCGGGCGGUGAGCAACGUUAGCAUUGCCUCGGGCUCAUGUUUCUGGUCGCGUGAGUGAAACCGAUGGAUUGCGUUGGAGUUCAAGUACCUCUGGGUCUUGUUCACGAGUGAGGGGAAGAUGGAGUGUGAGGUUGGCCGGAGAAUCGGAGCGGCAGAGGCGACAUUGCACUCGCUUUACAGCACCCGUUGUGGCGAAAAGAGAGCUGACCCAGAAGGUGAAGUCAUGAAGGAUGGGUCAUGACCGAAAGGACUAAGUCACAGAUGCGGCAGUAGAGGAUCUCAACACAACCAGGAUGCAGAGAAGUAAUCGGAGAAGGCACCAAUAAGUCUGGAAAAAACCCAAACGGGGUCCUGCGAUAUCUCGGUUGUCUCCUUCCAGGCCUGAAUGGACACAUUGUGCUGCUGCCCGCUGCUGUUCUACAGACCACUAGGUCCUCCACACACACCUGUCAAGCCAUGUCCGUGGCGCCUUGGGUGCUGAGACACUCCAGAGCCCCCCUGCUGUACACAUGGUUAUUGAACCCUUGCACACACACACACACUUAAACGUCCUAUAUGAAUAAAUAAACCCAUGUGGUCACGUAAACCUAUGUUUAGACACAGAAAUGCAUUCACAAGGACGCACACAAUUGAAUUUCACAAAUACACAGAGUAUGCAUUCAUGCUUUUUCACAAACAAACACACACACACUCAAAGACUUCUCUUUAUUGGAAACACGCCUCUCUCCCUUCGCCCAUGCCAAGGUUACAUGCGGGGCGGCUUCAGAUUUUAGAAAGGGUCAAGUUCCAUAUUUGUCAGGUGGGGGUUGGGGGCAAGGGUGCAGAAGGAAACAGCAUUCAGGAGUAGACCACCUGUAACCUGAUCUCCUGCUUCAAUCGGUUGCAGGUUUUCUCUUUUUGAGUUGAGUGGGCAGCAGUUGUGGGACACAGUGUUCUUUGCUUCCAUUUGGCAAAUGUGUUUACAUUUCUGCUUAAGUCAUUGAAAUGAUCAGCAAAUGUUUUUUUUAUUAUUUAUAAGCGAUUC